UACGGGGGGGGCAAGCGUUGUUCGGAAUUACUGGGCGUAAAGGGCGUGUAGGCGGCCAACUAAGUCCGACGUGAAAUCCCCAGGCUUAACCUGGGAACUGCGUCGGAUACUGGAUGGCUUGAAUCCGGGAGAGGGAUGCAGAAUUCCAGGUGUAGCGGUGAAAUGCGUAGAUAUCUGGAGGAACACCGGUGGCGAAGGCGGCAUCCUGGACCGGCAUUGACGCUAAAGCGCGAAAGCCAGGGGAGCAAACGGG
rnacentral:rRNA from 1 species